rnacentral:misc_RNA from 1 species
AAGUCGUAACAAGGUUUCCGUAGGUGAACCUGCGGAAGGAUCAUUAAAUGAACCCGGGGCUCGCCCCCGGCAGGGGGGUCGGCCCCACGGUCGAGCCUCGCGGCCCGGCCUGGAGUCGCCCCCCGUCGUCAUUCACCCUUUGACCGCCUACCGUGGAACACAGUUGCUUCGGCGGGGUCACACCCGCCGGAGGUCCACCCCAAAACCCUUUUGUAUGACCCAUGACGUCCGAGUCCCACACAUGAAUAAACAAAAACUUUCAACAACGGAUCUCUUGGUUCUG